CAAGGAAUUUUCCGCAAUGGGCGCAAGCCUGACGGAGCAACGCCGCGUGUGGGAUGACGCUUUUCGGAGUGUAAACCACUGUUCCUGGGGACGAAGCACUGACGGUACCCAGGGAGGAAGGCCCGGCUAACUACGUGCCAGCAGCCGCGGUAAUACGUAGGGGUCGAGCGUUGUCCGGAGUUACUGGGCGUAAAGCGCGCGCAGGUGGCUCAUUACGCCCGGCGUGAAAGCCCCCGGCCUAACCGGGGAAGGUCGUCGGGUACGGGUGAGCUUGAGGGUAUCAGGGGCUGGUGGAAUUCCCGGUGUAGUGGUGAAAUGCGUAGAGAUCGGGAGGAACACCCGUGGCGAAGGCGGCCAGCUGGGAUACACCUGACACUGAGGCGCGAAGGCGUGGGGAGCGAACGG
rnacentral:rRNA from 1 species